rnacentral:rRNA from 1 species
GGGGCAGCACAGGUAGCAAUACUGGGUGGCGACCGGCAAACGGGUGCGGAACACGUACGCAACCUUCCUCUGAGUGGGGAAUAGCCCGAAGAAAUUCGGAUUAAUACCCCGUAAUAUUAUUGGGUGGCAUCACCUGGUAAUUAAAGAACUUCGCUUAGAGAUGGGCGUGCGCCUGAUUAGGUAGUUGGUGAGGUAACGGCUCACCAAGCCGACGAUCAGUAACUGGCGUGAGAGCGCGACCAGUCACACGGGCACUGAGACACGGGCCCGACUCCUACGGGAGGCAGCAGUAAGGAAUAUUGGUCAAUGGACGCAAGUCUGAACCAGCCAUGCCGCGUGAAGGAUGAAGGUCCUCUGGAUUGUAAACUUCUUUUAUCUGGGAAGAAACCGCUUUUAUCUAAAGGCGUUGACGGUACCAGAGGAAUAAGCACCGGCUAACUCCGUGCCAGCAGCCGCGGUAAUACGGAGGGUGCAAGCGUUAUCCGGAUUCACUGGGUUUAAAGGGUGCGUAGGCGGAUUUGUAAGUCCGUGGUGAAAUCUCCAGGCUUAACCUGGAAACUGCCGUGGAUACUAUAAAUCUUGAAUGUUGUGGAGGUUAGCGGAAUAUGUCAUGUAGCGGUGAAAUGCAUAGAUAUGACAUAGAACACCAAUUGCGAAGGCAGCUGGCUACACAAAUAUUGACGCUGAGGCACGAAAGCGUGGGGGAUCAAACAGGAUUAGAUACCCUGGUAGUCCACGCCC